GACGAACGCUGGCGGCGUGCUUAACACAUGCAAGUCGAACGGAAAGGCCCUGCUUUUGUGGGGUGCUCGAGUGGCGAACGGGUGAGUAACACGUGAGUAACCUGCCCUUGACUUUGGGAUAACUUCAGGAAACUGGGGCUAAUACCGGAUAGGAGCUCCUGCUGCAUGGUGGGGGUUGGAAAGUUUCGGCGGUUGGGGAUGGACUCGCGGCUUAUCAGCUUGUUGGUGGGGUAGUGGCUUACCAAGGCUUUGACGGGCAGCCGGCCUGAGAGGGUGACCGGCCACAUGGGGACUGAGAUACGGCCCGAACUCCUACGGGAGGCAAGAGUGGGGAAUAUUGCACAAGGGGCGGAAGCCUGAUGCAGCAACGCCGCGUGCGGGAUGACGGCCUUCGGGUGGUAAACCGCUUUCGCCUGUGACGAGGCGUGGGUGACGGUAAUGGGAAAAGAAGCACCGGCUAACUACGU
rnacentral:rRNA from 1 species